CUUCCGUUAGUUAAGUUGGAUAUAACAGUAACCUCCUAAGUUUCAGUCUCCCGUUCGAGUCGGGAACGGAAGG
rnacentral:tRNA from 1 species